CCUACGGGUGGCAGCAGUGAGGAAUAUUGGUCAAUGGACGAGAGUCUGAACCAGCCAAGUAGCGUGAAGGAUGACUGCCCUAUGGGUUGUAAACUUCUUUUAUAUGGGAAUAAAACGUUCCACGUGUGGGAUUUUGUAUGUACCAUAUGAAUAAGGAUCGGCUAACUCCGUGCCAGCAGCCGCGGUAAUACGGAGGAUCCGAGCGUUAUCCGGAUUUAUUGGGUUUAAAGGGAGCGUAGGUGGAUUGUUAAGUCAGCUGUGAAAGUUUGCGGCUCAACCGUAAAAUUGCAGUUGAAACUGGCAGUCUUGAGUACAGUAGAGGUGGGCGGAAUUCGUGGUGUAGCGGUGAAAUGCUUAGAUAUCACGAAGAACUCCGAUUGCGAAGGCAGUUCACUGGACUGCAACUGACACUGAGGCUCGAAAGUGUGGGUAUCAAACAGGAUUAGAUACCCCAGUAGUC
rnacentral:rRNA from 1 species